CCUACGGGGGGCAGCAGUGGGGAAUAUUGCACAAUGGGCGCAAGCCUGAUGCAGCCAUGCCGCGUGUGUGAAGAAGGCCUUCGGGUUGUAAAGCACUUUCAGCGGGGAGGAAGGCGUUAAGGUUAAUAACCUUGGCGAUUGACGUUACCCGCAGAAGAAGCACCGGCUAACUCCGUGCCAGCAGCCGCGGUAAUACGGAGGGUGCAAGCGUUAAUCGGAAUUACUGGGCGUAAAGCGCACGCAGGCGGUCUGUCAAGUCGGAUGUGAAAUCCCCGGGCUCAACCUGGGAACUGCAUUCGAAACUGGCAGGCUAGAGUCUUGUAGAGGGGGGUAGAAUUCCAGGUGUAGCGGUGAAAUACGUAGAGAUCUGGAGGAAUACCGGUGGCGAAGGCGGCCCCCUGGACAAAGACUGACGCUCAGGUGCGAAAGCGUGGGGAGCAAACAGGAUUAGAUACCCGGGUAGUC
rnacentral:rRNA from 1 species